rnacentral:lncRNA from 1 species
CAGAGGUUCCUCUUUGUUUGAUUUGAUAUUCCUCUUUUGCAUUCUCUGCUUCUGAGAGGUGAGUUUUUGAAUAACUGUUUCUCUUUUUUAUUAAUCUCAAACGGGUUUUCAAAUUCAGAUUGUUUCUGGCAGCUGGUUUCAUUGGAUUCUCUCUGUCUGUCUCUUAAUCCCAAUUCAACCAUUUUAUUCAAUUUCAAAAAGAUUGUAACUUUGUUUCUGUGUUUCUCAUGGUGCAUGUGGGUUCUUAUACCAGCUAAUUUAGCUCUGAACUUCUUCGUAUUAGGUGAACUUCUGAAAGCUGAAUUUUAUAUUUUUCGACAUUACGCAGUGCGAAUUUCACAUUAGAUCAUCAAUUCUUUUUCAAAAUUAAAAGGUUGUGUGCAGCAUUGCUCUGAAAGUUUGUGGGUUUCUCAAAACUGGGUGAUGUUUUGUCUUUUCCUUUUUUUCCCCCUCAAUGGUCUUUGUGGUGCAUGCAUAGAAAGAAGUUAGUUAUUUGUUUUGAUUUCCUCCGUUUUUGAUUCAGACAAAUCUCUGGUAUCGAUUGAAUUCCUCCGUUUUCCCCUCUUUGGUUUGUGUUGUUCUUUCUCAGAUGGAGGUUGUGGAUGGUUGCCGCGAAGAAGACGUUGGCUGAUAAGGUGUUCCAAAGCAAUAAGAGUUUGAACAAUGAGAUUUCUUCGUCCCAUCACGAUGAUCAUGGAGCUGAUGGUGGAAUGUUACUCAUGGACAUUUGAGCUGAAAAGACCAAAACGUCUUCAUCCUCAUGUGUCACACCGGUGGUGCCCACACACCUUCCACC